rnacentral:lncRNA from 1 species
CGUGGUCCUCUACGACAAAAGAUAGCUACUGAUAAAAGAGGAGCUUGUGGUGAAGUUGAGAAGGGUCUAUCAGAGGGUUUUGGGGAAGAUCAUAGGGAGGAAGGUCUUUUGACGAUCCGAAAUCAGCAGAUGAGUAGGAGAGGAGAAGGUUAUUUGGUGAAUCAAGGAGAUGGGGUACGCAUGGAGGGUGCAGACAUUGGAGGUUUUGCUAUAGGAAGCGGCCGCAACAUCUCCUCUGAAAGACAGGCUAGAAGUAGGAAUUUACAAAGUAGCAGAUCAUCGUGGGCUCGUAGGAGCCAGAGUAAGAGAAAGAGUGUUCCUACUGGUUCCGACCAUGGGCCUAAUGAGAGAGCCG